AUUGAGUAGCCAUCAGAAAGGAUGAACUAGAUGUAUUCCAGUGAGAGACGUUACCAGGAGGUAGGAACUAUAAAGUUCAUGGUACUCAAGGGGGUCUCUGACCAAAAAAGGAUUAAGAAGAAUUGAGGCAAAAGUUGGAGUCACCCAGGCUGGAGUGUAGUGGUACGAUCUCAGCUCACUGCAACAUCCACUUCCCAGGUUCAAGCAAUUCUCCUGCCUCAGCCUCCCAAGUAGCUGGAAUUACAGGCACACAACGAGACAUUCUCCAGAUCACCUGGCAUCUAUCUAGCUGGGGCCACAAGGUUUUUUUCUGCCAACGGAAUAUGUGCAGAAGUGAUGUAUACGACCUCAGAGCCCAGCCUCUAAAUAUCCUGUGUCAUGCUCCACAUUCUGUCCAUUCAUCUCUCAGUUAACUAAAUAGAAGUGAUGCAAGGGAGGACUCCAAGGAAGCCCUAAGGAUCAUGAAGCUACAUAAUGGGAGAAUUGCUGUCACCACAGUUCUGGAAGAAGAAUUGUUCAGGAGAACAGCCAUUGGACUAUGGCAUGCCAAAGAAAUAAAUCUCUGUUGUGAAACCACAAUAAAAG
rnacentral:lncRNA from 1 species